GUUGACCUCGGAUCAGGAAGGGAUAC
rnacentral:rRNA from 1 species